GCGAGCUUCUAGCCGAUCCUGGGGGCGUUCACCGGCAGCCUGAGGAAACGCGGGCGACUUCUGUUUUCGGAGCCUGCCCUGCGCUCACUGUGCCACGCGCCGAGAUGACUGCGAGCUCUGCGUGGCGCGGCCCUACUCUGCUGCUGCUGCUCUUCUCCCCAGCCCUGUGGGCAGUGGAGAUUUCCUGCAGGAAUGAAGACGGGGAGGCAGUGGACUGGUUUGCUCUGUACAAGCUGCCAAAGCACACCAAAGGAGAUGGCACAGGGCUGGGCCUGGAGUACCUGUACAUGGACAGCCUAGCGCAGCAGUGGCAGCCUGGCAGGUACCUUGUCAACAUGACACAGAGUGCUCUGGGACAGACACUGGGGCAGCUCUACAAAGCAUAUGAGUCCAAGAGGAACAACACUGUGUAUGCAAUCUAUAACGAUGAGGUCCCUCAUUCAGGCUCCAUCAGCUGGAAAAAAGGACACACCAAAGGGUUUCUGCUCUUGGACAAAUCACAAGGCUUCUGGGUGAUCCACAGCGUGCCCUUGUUCCCCCCCUUUCCCGAGGACGGCUAUGGUUACCCAGCCAGUGGGGAGUUCUAUGGACAGACAGCCAUGUGCAUAACCUUUACGUAUGAGCAGUUCAUAGAAAUAGACCAACAGAUGCUGAGCUCUAAUCCAGAAAUCUACAGCUGCUCCCUCCCUGAUACCUUCCAAGCCGAUCUCCCAAACCUUCAAAAGCUUUGUGCAGGCUCCAGGCUGCCCUCAGGCCCCCUGCGCCGCCUCUCCAAGCUGCAGUCGGCACGUGGGGAAGCCUUUCUCCACUUUGCAAAGUCUAAUUCUUUUGUGGAUGAUAUCUACGUGGCCUGGGUGGCUCAGGAACUGAAGACUGAUUUGUUGGCUGAAUCCUGGCAGCACUCUGGCCAAAAGCUUCCCUCAAACUGCUCUCUCCAGUACUAUGUCUACAACAUAAAUCUCAUAGGGACGCCACUGAAUUCCACCUUCCAUUCGAUCCAGGAUCACUCCAAAUGGUCUGUUUCAAUGAAGGAUGAAGUUCAGUGGACCUGCAUUGGAGACCUAAACCGUGCUGUAGAGCAAGCUUGGAGGAGUGACACUGACCCAACUGGCCUGACCUCUUGCAUCUUGCCCACAGCAUCACAUGUUCGUGUACAGGACAUGUACAGGAACAACAAGGAGACCUUCACUGGAAUCAGCUCGGGUGAGGUGCUCCAUGGUGCACCAGAGGGCUCUGGGAUCUGCUCCACCACCUGUAUUUCCUAUGGGAGAUGCUCAGCCACAAUGUUUAACUCACAGAGCUCAACAGCAUGGAGUCUUCAUCCCAAUGCUGACACAGUGGUGUGUCACAGUCCUGCUCCCCAGACCUGUCCCUUGACUCUUUACCUGCUGAGCCCUCUGUGCCCGUGGAGGAGAGCAUGCAGCACAGCCCCUGGGAAGGGACCUGGUGAGCCACACUGCAGCUGCAGAAGAGCAGAAGGGUUGGAUACAGCAUGGAGAGAGCAGAAGGCUCUUCUCCUUCUGGAAUCCCCAUGUCUCAUCCCCUUGAUGCACAGUUGAGUUCAAGUAUCAUUUUUACAUGAGGUAAUUGGUGGCCAUUCUGCAUCAUCUGCAAAUCAGGAACCUGCCCUUCUCUUUUCUGCCAAAUAACAUGGAGAACCAGAGAAAUCAGAAUGAGAGAACUCAGAGGAAAACUCAGAAGAGCGAAGAGGACAACAGAAGGUAUAACCUCCACAGGCUGAGCCACAGAGAGAAAAAAAAUGAGAAGCACACACUGAAGUGACUUAGCCAAGUAUUAAAAGCCAAACAAAUCCUAUCACCUGGAGAGGAAGCAGCUCCCUGUUUGUUACCAAACUUCCAAGAGGAAGCUACAAUUAAGAUUUAAAAACCAAUAAAAACGCAGUGAAGAUGGAGGUGCAGAACAUUUACAAGAUUAAUUGCAGACCGUUUCAUUAUGUGUGACACUAUAACUUAAUUCAUUCUCAUGGAAUUCAGAUAACUGCAGGCAAAAAAGGCAAAAGCUUUAAUAAAGGAAUAGUUCUACUGCAACAAAGGAAAUGAGCAAGAAGAGAGAUGAGGACACAUCCUAAGUCCACUAAUGGCGGUGGGAAUUUGCCUUCAUCUUCAGUGGGAACAUAUUUUCAAAGACAUGGGAAUCGUCCAUACAAACGGGAGGAUAAAAUCUGAACCUUCCGUGGUCUAUGACACAAACCAGAAGAUGGCCCCGACACAGUGGAAACGUGCCCAGCAGGAGUUUCACAGCCAGGCUUGACCACAGUCCUAUGUGUGGUGCCGGCUGCUGGGAUGGACGUCAUCACGGCCACAGGCACAGGCAGUGUCUGUGGUAGAGCCCUCCCUGAGGCCAGGCCAGGCAGGAACCAGGCAGAGAUGCAUCCCUCUGGUGAACACUGACCCUCUUGCUGAUUAUGGGUUUGCCUUCAAUGCCCUACAUUUGGGAAGAAGAGCAGCGUGGACAGCAGGAAUCUUCCCCAGGGAGAUUCAAAAUCUUCUUCAAGGGCCAAGAACUCUUCCUGGGUGUAUGCUGCCUGCUGAAUGGCGCAAAAAGCCAAAGCAGGAAAGUCCAGAUGGAGGAACCUCAUGAUCUCAAGCACCUUUUCUUUUGGUACUGGCACUACACAGCAAAGUAGACAUUAAAAUAACAGAGUUGCCACUCUUCUGCUAGCAGAAGCAUUCAUCUCCCUCUCAUCCCUUUGAUCUACUCCUUCUUCCACUCCCAGGAUUGCACUACGUCAACUCUCUGUGUGAUAGUGUGCACACCAGGACCUUGUUGUACUCUUGAAGAGUGAGUUCAUUUGCCCCAUGAACACAUGGCCUCUGUAGUUCUGUUUGAGCUCUUUAAGAAAAAAUCCUCCAUUGUCCUUGAUUACCGGUCACCAAAAUAUGUCUGAUAGGAUAGACCCUUCCAAAUAACCAAAUUGUGCAGAAAAAAUUUCAGAAAAAUGUUCUAUGGGAGUAUGCCCCCUAAGGAACAAGGCUUCUUCGUAACAACUUAUAAAGUUAUGUUUCUUAUUGGAUCUGUGCUGCCAGUCCAUUGCAGUUCUCAUGAAGAAAAAAAUCACAAGUAUUUUCUCAAUAACCUCUUUAAAAGAAAUAUAUUUACCAUGUGCUGUGUUCUACAUGGCAUUGAUUUUCAGUCCCUAGGGAUAAAGAUGUCUAUGAGCAACCUUUAAGAGAGUCACAGAUAUGACUAAACAAUGCAUGUUCAUGUAUAUUUUCUAGGUAUUACAUUUCUUAAGGAAGCCCAUGCCUCUAUUGGAAAACUGAAAGAAAUUUCAAAAGCUGUGACUUCUUUGCAAGUCAGAAUUUUAUUCCUAUAUUGUAUGUCAAAAUAUCAAUUUUUAUUUGAUUUUUUGAGAGCUUUGCCAAAGAUUCUUCAGGAACUGUAAGACAACUUACAGUUUCAAUUCUUUUUUUUUUUUCCCCCAAGAAAAUGCAGUAUUUCUUUAAUACUGAACUCUAUUGGUUUCCAGUGCCCUUACUUUUAACUAUCACCUUGUAUAAAAUCAGUGUAAGAAAUGAGAAAUGAAGCAUGUGGUUUAACUGCUUUUAAAUUCAUGAGUAGUGCUACUACGUUUUGUGGGAUUAGUUUGAUAGUCCAAGUAAAAUAACUGUCAGCUAGACAGAUAGUGCAAUAAAGGUGAAACACACUAUUGCUGAUAAGAAAGUAAUCUUUAUUUCAUGGUCCCAGACUUCUAGCAUAUGAGCACAGUACUUUGUGGGAUUGAGUGGCACUCACCAACAUAACACUGCUGAGCACAAACAACUUGAUUAGAUGAGUUAAGCCAAUGUGGUAGAAGCAAAGUGGAACUGAGCAGCUUUGUGGCCCUGAUCAGGCAUAAUAUAAGUGCAGUUUUCUCUCUAUAUGAGGGAAUUUCACGUAUUAGGGCUAACAGCAUUUGGAGCAAGUCCACUGUAAUUUCAGUGUAGCAUUAGAUGAAGCAUGACAAUAAAUUCAGCGAAGUAAAAAACUGGGAGAGUUAAACUCUUGACAAAUUUACAAAAGCACUGCACAAAUUCUGUGUGUACUUGUGCAAGGUAUUGAGCAGAAAAGAAAUAUGUUCAUUCUAAGAGGAUACAGGUGUGGCUACUACUACUGUGUACCAAAGAUGUUUUUUGAAAAAUGAAUCCUGUUGAUGCUAUUUGUUUGAAGCAAUAAUUAGACUGGCAUCAAGUUUGACUGAUAACUCCUGCUGUCUUCACACAGAUUUUCUAAGUUUGUGAGACCAGUUCUCAGGAGCUCUUUAGCAAAGUUCUUAUGUUGCCAGCAUCACUCCCUCAGAAGAAACUGGUAAAAGAGUGAGUCCUGGUUUUCAGUACCUUCUACAGAUUGGUCUUCAAAAGUGAAAGUCAGCUUUUUUAAAAGUGAUCUUUCAUAAUUGCAGUUGAAAAUGAUGUGUUUGCCAAGUGCUGAACAGCUUUGAAAACUGGAUCUGAUGUGUUCAAGAUUUUCUCAGGAGAAAGUUGUCUCUGCAGAUGCCCCAGACUCUGCCAAAUGAUUGGCUUUCUAUCCAGUUCAGUCAUUUACUUCUGUUACAUGUUUUAGACAUCCAUUUUUCCAUCUUAAAACAUCCAAGAUUGUCCAUCUUUACACAUCCAUUAUUCCAUCUGAACUUCAAUUCCAUGUUUUUUCGUCUGCAGGCUUAUAAAAAAAAAAACAAAAAACACACACACUUGGACUGGAAGGAAAGCACAUGUAUCAGAACAGACUUUUGGAUUUGUUUUACUUUGAACACACACAGCAUCAUGUCCCCAGUGGCUUAAUACCAAAGAGCACUUUAGAAAGUCAUUUGUAUGGACUUAUGAACAUGCCUCAUAUAAAAAGAAAGGUGCAACUGAAGAGCUCUAAUACUGUAAAGAAAUCCACUUAAAAGUGAAGAAAUACAGGAAUGUCUUUAAUCACCCACUGGAUAGUCCUUCAUUUAGUGUACAAGAUCUUCAGCAUUCUCGGAUAAUGGAUAGGAGCGUUUUGCUGGUUUUUAAUUCUUUUUAUUAAAUGUAUAGUCUUCUGUUCUACUUAUUCCUCAUUCGCCAGCUCCUUCCCAGGAACUAACUCCAUCCUGGAGGUUGACAUGUUUAGCAUCCGUGAAGCAUUAUGGUUCUCACAUUUGUCUAGGAUUACCCUGGCUUUAUGCGAAGGUUUUACCAAGCAGCAAAGCUUUUCUUAAAAACCAAUGAAAUGCUUUUUUACUCUAAGUACAUCAUUUGGUUUCAGCCAGGCAGUUUCCUGAUAAUAGUAUAACAGAGUGUCUUUUCAGAAUCCCAGUAGGUGGAAGCUUGGUUUGAGAACACACUGGGACAUUUGGUAGCACUGAUAUUUUACGUCACAACUGUUAACAAUUCUUGAAAGUAUAAGAAGUAUUUAAAGGCCAGGUGGUUCAGGAAGCUGGCGGUGGAUUACGAGGCAGCAAAAUGUGGGAUAACAAAAAAGGUAAAGAGAGUUGUCUGCUGCAGCUUGCCUUUUGAAACAGGACAGAUGGGAACAACUCAUGCACACAAACAUGAUGAGGACAGCACAGAGCGGUGGAGUGCCUGCCCCUUCCUAAAACAGGAUCAUACCUAAGGAAACAGCCUAGGGGUGAGGACGCAGGAUUGACAUCUUGCCUGAAACAACAGGAUUAUCUUGUUUCAUCUCUGCCAUCAGGCAUAAGGAAUGAAAGAUCCUGAGCCUGAAGGACAGCAACUAAUUGCUCCCCAGACAAGAUGGACUGCUUCCUCAAGAGGUGCUGUAAAGGAAAAGUUUCUCUCCAUUCAGUGCAGUGACGUUCGUCCUUGUCAGGAUGACAGUCUGUUCCCAGGACCACCAAGCAAAAACACAGCUGAAUGAACAGUGUCAUAGGCUUUUCAUGGCAUCGCAGCCCCGAAGGAAGCACUGAUUCUCCAGCCUGACCUUUUGCCCACGGUGGGUGAUGAACUGACCAAGUGACUGCUGCGUAAUUUCUGCGGGACCUACAAUACCUCCUUUGAAAAAAAUUCACCUUUAAAGAUUUCGCAUGACAAGCAAUACUUCACAAGCCUUGUUUAAACCAGAAAUGUCUCUUAGCUUUCAAAAACUGCAUCUUUUAAAAGGUUUGUCUGCUAAACUGAAGAUUGCUAUGGUGACAACUAUUCUCCUUACUGAGGUGAUUUCACAUUCUUUAGCUCUUGUGUGAUUCAGUGAUGGGCUAGAGAUAAGGGUUUUAAAGUCUCUUCAAUAAGGGCAGUUUCUAGAUACGUCUGUUUAGCCACUUCCUGUUUGCCAGCCUUUGCACAGAUAGCAGACCAAGACGUACUGUUCCACCAGUAGAAUCCUUACUUAGUACAUACAUGGUGCUCCCCACGUUUGUACACCCAAGGACUGCAUUUCUAUGUGCUCUUAAAUGCCUGUCUGUAUUGCUACUCUUCAUAUCACAGUCCUCCAUCAGACAACUGAUCUACUUAUUUCUUUCCUAGAAAUAUCAGCUUGUAAUUAACUGUAUUAGUUUGCACAUUGUUCACAUUAGCUUAUCUUCCUUAAAAUUCUGUUAACACUGCAGAAUCUAUCCUUAUUAUGUAUCACUUGACAGCUUCUAUCUGCUAUGUAAAUAUUAGCUUAUAAAUUUUGAAACUAAUAAAUGCUUCUUAUUAAUGCUUCCAAGUAGAAAAUGUUCCUGAGUCUUUUUUGCAGUUGAAAAUGUAAAGUAUCUACUAAGAGCCGAACAGCAAAAUAGCCACAUACUGAAAUAUAGCAAAAUAGAAGCAUAAUUAUACAAUAUACCAUGCUUAAUUGUUGAUAAUAUUUGUUGAUUCCAUGGAGUUAAGAGAGAUCUACAAGGGGAAAAACACUUGAGGUAUUCUACUCCAUUACAAAAUAGUCCCAUUAUUUCUAAAAAAACAUCUAUAAAUCAAUUUGCAUCAAUUUUGGAAAAGGAGAAAACUCUUAGAUGUAAUCUACACAAGCAGAGAAACAAGCAAAGCUAUUUGCUAAAUUCAGCUCUGUUUAUUACAGAGAAAAUAUUACCAUACAGCACAAGCAUGCCUAAUAUAAAAUAUCAGGAAAUCACAAUCUCUCUGUCAUGUAAGGAGUCACACUCUAAUAAACUCUUCCUUCUUCAGUAUGUGGAGGAAUAUUUUAUUAGGGUACCCCAAGCUAAGUGUAAUUGCCACCAGUAGAAAAAUUCUUCUGCAUCAAGGACCAAAUCCCCCAAGGAACAGAAGAUUUUCUACAUGCCCACAAAGUCAAUUAAUAUUGUCAUUAAUUGCCUUUUUUCCCCCUUUUUUCUCUUUCUCGUUUUUUCUCUUUCUCCUCUUUUUCUU